UACGACCGCAAAAAAUUUUUUGUGGUCGUAUAUUGGUAUGACGUUGGCGUCGUCGUCGUCAUCGUCGUCCGGCGUCGUCUGGCGUCGUCCGAAGACACAUUGGUUUUCGCACUCUAACUUUAGUUUAAGUGAAUGGAUCUUUAUGAAAUUUUACCACAAGGUUCAAUACCACAAAAGGAAGGUUGGGAUUGAUUUUGGGGGUUAUGGUAAUAACAGUAAAGGAAUUAGGGGCCAAAAAGGGGCCAAAAAUAAGCAUUUUUGUAACUUCCAGACAUAACUUGUGUGUUAGUGUAUGGAUCUCUCUGACAUUGUACCACAAGGUUCCAUAUCACUAAAGGAAUGCUGGGAUUGAUUUUGGGGGUAAUUGCCUCCAAAUUUUAGGAAUUAGGGGCCAAAAAAGGGGCAAAAAACAAGCAUUUUUCUAGUUUCAUGACAAUAACUUGUGUGUAAGUGUAUGGAUCUUUCUGAAAUUGUACUACAAGGUUCCAUAUCACAAAGGGAAAGCUGGGUUUGAGUUUGGGGGUAAUUGCCCUAAACGUUUAGGAAUUUGGGGCCAAAAAGGGGCCAAAAAACACAUUUUUUUCUAGUUUCCAGACAAUAACUUGUGUUCAAGUGUAUGGAUCUCUCUGAAAUUGUACUGCAAGGUACCAUACCACAAAGGGAAGGCUGGGAUUGAGUUUGGGGGUGAUGAAUCAUAAUGGGGGUUCAAAAAAUUUUGGGGGGGGGAUUUAUUUUUUUUUCCUUUUUUUUCUUUUUUUCCUUUUUUGUUUCUUUUAAAAUUUUCCAUUUUAAGUUGGUUAUUUCUGAUUUAUAUUUAAAAUCAAAUAAUAAUGAUAUGGUAGGAGAUACACACCAAACAGGAUGUGUAAAUUAUUAUAUAAUAAGUAUUGUGCAAUAGCAAGAAAUUUUCAAUUGCACAGUAUUGCACAAUAGCAAGAAAUCUUCAAUUGCACAGUAUUGCGCAAUAGCAAGAAAUCUUCAAUUGCACAGUAUUGCGCAAUAGCAAGAAAUAUCCAAUAGCACAAUAUUGCGCAAUAGCAAGAAAUUGUCAAUUGUACAGUAUUGCGCAAUAGCAAGAAAUAUUUAAUAGCACAGGAUUGUGCAAAAGAAGAUACUUCCUAUAAAUUGCUUAUUUCUUGACCAAUUUCAAUGGGGUUUUAUUCUUGAUUUCAUGGGGUUUUAUUCUUGAUUUCAUGGGGUUCUUUAAUAUGCUGAAUCUAACCGUGUAUUUAGUUUUUGGAUUUUGGGCCCCGUUUUUAAAUUGGUCCACAUUGAGGUCCAAAGGGUCCAAAAUUAAACUUUGUUUGAUUUCAUCAAAAAUUGAAUUAUUGGGGUUCUUUGAUAUGCCGAAUCUAACUGUGUAUUUAGAUUCUUAAAUUUUGGUUCCGUUUUCAAAUUGGUCUACAUUAAGGUCCAAAGGGUCCAAAAUUAAACUUAGUUUGAUUUUAACAAAAAUUGAAUUCUUAGGGUUCUUUGAUAUGCUGAAUCUAAACAUGUAUUUAGAUUUUUGAUUAUGGGCCCAGUUUUCAAGUUGGUCCAAAUCGGGGUCCAAAAUUAAACUUUGUUUGAUUUCAACAAAAAUUGAAUAUAUGGGGUUCUUUGAUAUGCUGAAUCAAACCAUGUAUUUAGAUUUUUGAUUUUUGGGCCCCGUUAUCAACUUUGUCCACAUUGAGGUCAAAAGGGUCCAAAAUUAAACUUUGUUUGAUUUCAUCAAAAAUUGAAUUAUUGGGGUUCUUUGAUAUGCCGAAUCUAACCGUGUAUUUAGAUUCUUAAUUUUUGGUUCCGUUUUCAAAUUGGUCUACAUUAAGGUCCAAAGGGUCCAAAAUUAAACUUAGUUUGAUUUUAACAAAAAUUGAAUUCUUAGGGUUCUUUGAUAUGCUGAAUCUAAACAUGUAUUUAGAUUUUUGAUUAUGGGCCCAGUUUUCAAGUUGGUCCAAAUCGGGGUCCAAAAUUAAACUUUGUUUGAUUUCAACAAAAAUUGAAUAUAUGGGGUUCUUUGAUAUGCUGAAUCUAACCAUGUAUUUAGAUUUUUGAUUUUUGGGCCCCGUUAUCAACUUUGUCCACAUUGAGGUCAAAAGGGUCCAAAAUUAAACUUUGUUUGAUUUCAUCAAAAAUUGAAUUAUUGGGGUUCUUUGAUAUGCCGAAUCUAACCGUGUAUUUAGAUUCUUAAUUUUUGGUUCCGUUUUCAAAUUGGUCUACAUUAAGGUCCAAAGGGUCCAAAAUUAAACUUAGUUUGAUUUUAACAAAAAUUGAAUUCUUAGGGUUCUUUGAUAUGCUGAAUCUAAACAUGUAUUUAGAUUUUUGAUUAUGGGCCCAGUUUUCAAGUUGGUCCAAAUCGGGGUCCAAAAUUAAACUUUGUUUGAUUUCAACAAAAAUUGAAUAUAUGGGGUUCUUUGAUAUGCUGAAUCUAACCAUGUAUUUAGAUUUUUGAUUUUUGGGCCCCGUUAUCAACUUUGUCCACAUUGAGGUCAAAAGGGUCCAAAAUUAAACUUUGUUUGAUUUCAUCAAAAAUUGAAUUAUUGGGGUUCUUUGAUAUGCCGAAUCUAACCAUGUAUUUAAAUUCUUAAUUUUUGGUUCCAUUUUCAAAUUGGUCUACAUUAAGGUUCAAAGGGUCCAAAAUUAAACUUAGUUUGAUUUUAACAGAAAUUGAAUUCUUAGGGUUCUUUGAUAUGCUGAAUCUAAACAUGUAUUUAGAUUUUUGAUUAUGGGCCCAGUUUUCAAGUUGGUCCAAAUC